AAUGGGGGCUUGAAUCCCUGUAUUAGAACACAAUAACACUUCAUUGGCAUACAGUUUGGCUGUUAAUCACAUCCCCCCACUUAUUACAUCCCUCCUAUUGGCAAUGAAGUGGAUGAGACACUUAGACUCUAUAAAACCCACCAGAGAUAAGAGAGAGAGAUAAUGCAUCCUGCAGUGUAUCUACUUAUGUGAAUGCACAACCCAUUGUCACAAUAGAGCUCUUUCCAUUUACAUAUCAUAUUGGAGAUGAUAUACUCUAACAAUCAAUGACUUCAAGUAACAACACAUACCAACCUGAUUAAAAAUGCAUACUACAGAAAACACACAAUACAAUAAUAAAU